rnacentral:lncRNA from 1 species
CUUCCGCUUCUGCUGUCUUGAUGACGCACAGUGCUGGCGCAAGUCGUCUUGCGCCAGGCGACUGGGUCUGAGGAGGCAGGAGUUAUUCAUUCCCUUAAGCUUUCAGGCCGGGGGGAGAAUCUUUCAGAUACAGGGUAUCACCAUGUUGUCCGAGCUGGCCUCAAACUCCUGGGCUCGCCUCAAACUCCUGGGCUCAAGCAAUCCAUCCACCUCAGCCUCCCCAAAUGCUGGGAUUACAGACAUGAACCACUGCACUAGGCACAGAUAAUUUUUAAGGCAAUCUGGGAUCCACAGGUGGUAGCUGCAAGAACUCUUAGUAUGUUGACCUCACCUCUGCCUUCCACAUACCACUACCAGUGAGGAAUUAGGAAUGCAUGAGAAGAGUGUCCAAGAAGAGUGUCCUCAUUCAUGCAAGGCUUAAGAGAGAAUGCAGGUCAACAUCACCAUGUCAAUCAGAGAAUACUUCUGUUGGGUUGAAUGACUCUCUGCCCCCAGCGUAGUUUGGAACCAGCAGCAGCAGCAGCUCCCCAGACCUACUGAAUCAGAAUCUACAUUUUGAUAAGAGCCCAGGGUGACUCCAUGUACGUGAAAAAGUUUGAGAAGUCCUUAGACCUACAGUUCACAGCUUCUCCUUCUUUCUUAUUCAACUGAAUUGCAGUGGGACCUGAGUAUGGUUAAAAUAAAUGAAUAAAAAC